rnacentral:rRNA from 1 species
UGACUAUAAGUUCAACGGCCGCGGUAUUUUGACCGUGCAAAGGUAGCGCAAUCACUUGUCUUUUAAAUAGAGACCUGUAUGAAUGGCCAAACGAGGGCUUAACUGUCUCCCUUUUCAAGUCAGUGAAAUUGAUCUACCCGUGCAGAAGCGGGUAUAAUAAUACAAGACGAGAAGACCCUAUGGAGCUUAAGGUACAAAACUCAACCACGUCAAGCAACUCAAUGAAAAGCAAAAACUUUGUGAAACAUGAGAUUUUACCUUCGGUUGGGGCGACCACGGAGGAAAAAAAAGCCUCCAAGUGGAAUGGAACAAACUCCUAAAACCAAGAGAGACAUCUCUAAGCCACAGAACAUCUGACCAAACAUGAUCCGGCCCAAAAAAGCCGAUCAACGAACCAAGUUACCCUAGGGAUAACAGCGCAAUCCCCUCCCAGAGUCCAUAUCGACGAGGGGGUUUACGACCUCGAUGUUGGAUCAGGACAUCCUAAUGGUGCAGCCGCUAUUAAGGGUUCGUUUGUUCAACGAUUAAAGUCCU